rnacentral:lncRNA from 1 species
CUGUUGUUGGACAACUAUAGUAUAUUUGAUUCAUAAUUUUAAUUUUCUUUAUAAAGUGUUUGACUGUUUUAGUUAUUGCAUUAGUUUAUUUGCCUUACAUAGAACUAUUGUCGAAAGUAUAUGAUAAAGCGAUUAAUACAUGGCCUUUUCCAUAUCAGCCUGGGUAUCAUCCCUCGACCCAUAUCAGCACCUCGACUCCGUCUCG